CAGACUUCUCUUCUCCCUUGAUGAAUCAUUUAUAAACUCCAUAAUCUCCGACCAAUGCUUGGUAAAAGAGUUACCCAUUAUACCUUUUGCCAUAAACUCCCAAAGUUUGGAUGUGUAAUCACACUCGAAAAACAAAUGAUUCCUUGACUCCUGCGCAGAACGACAAAGCACACAAGUUGAAUCUACUCCAUGACUCCAUUUAACCACACGAUCCAUUGUUGAUAGCCUGUCUCUAGAGGCUAACCACACCAUAAACGCAUAUCUGGGAGUAGUUUGAGGAAACCAUAUCCCACUGGCCCAAG
rnacentral:lncRNA from 1 species